GGUAGAUGAAUCAGUUUCCUCUACGGGAUCUCAAUCCUGGGGAGAGUUUCCCAUGCCCUCUAGUGCGGUUUCAUUGGGAGAUGGAGAGGGUUUAAGCAGACUAAACUGACCUAUUUACACUUGGCCACAUCAUGAUAUAUUGAUCCUGUAGCUAUCCGAUUAUAAAACGUAACCAGAUGUAAAUGCCCUCUGAAACACAUUCAAGAUGGAUUGCAAUCUACAGGAAGAGGUUUGAGAUGCAUUCCAGCCAUGACCGUACAAGUGUAAAUGCAUCUGAUUAAGUCGUAUAUGCAAUUUUUACAUAUCUUUGAAGUGUAAAUGGAACAGUUUUUACAACUCAGAUAUCAAAACUGAUCUGAGAAAAUGCAUUAAGUGUCAACAGGCCCAGUGACUGGUGAAGGCCAGCAAACCUCACGCCAAACAAGAUGCUUUAAAAAAUAGAUAUGGUGAAUUUUACACUUAAUGACAACUUCAAAAUUAAUUUCUGGAAUUAAUUUUAAUUUCAAGCCCUUGUGUUUAACAGAAUGAACUGGAUGAAGUAAUUUAUUAUGAGCAAUCGAGCUAAUUGCCUAUACAGGGUACAACUAUUCGAGUCCACCUGUGUUCAGUUGCUAGAUGGCAUCAUUAAUUCCAAUUUGAGAGUUUUGCUCGGCUGAGCUUUUAUAACUGAAAUAGAAGUACACAUUAAUCCUGCUGUCUGUGGGCUGUAGAGCUGAAUUUGUAAGAAAUAAAAAAAAGAGAAAGAAAGCUUGCAGAA